GUGCUCACUUCCACAGCACAUAUACUAAUAUUGGAAUAAUACAGAGAAGAUUAGAGUGUCCCUUGUGCAAGCAUGACAUGCAUAUUUUUGAAGCAUUCUAUAUAUUU
ensembl:snRNA U6 U6 spliceosomal RNA